rnacentral:rRNA from 1 species
UACGUAGGUCCCGAGCGUUGUCCGGAUUUAUUGGGCGUAAAGCGAGCGCAGGUGGUUUAUUAAGUCUGGUGUAAAAGGCAGUGGCUCAACCAUUGUAUGCAUUGGAAACUGGUAGACUUGAGUGCAGGAGAGGAGAGUGGAAUUCCAUGUGCAGCGGUGAAAUGCGUAGAUAUAUGGAGGAACACCGGUGGCGAAAGCGGCUCUCUGGCCUGUAACUGACACUGAGGCUCGAAAGCGUGGGAAGCAAACAGG